AAAAAACACUAGAAUGAGCUACAAACUUUUACCACAGACACAAGAAGCAUCUGACAAUAAAACACCCGUUAACAUUAAAGUACAUGUUAAUAUACUUUUAAAAAGCUCAGGCUCCUUUCUUCCCGGACCAUGAUGGCUAGCUGGCUAAUACACACUGAGCCAAAGCCCUUGCCGGCUACUGAACUGGAAUGAGCAGCCAGAUAAAGAAUCUUUGUCUGUCCAUGAAGUCUUUCCAAGUUAUGAGACCCUUCUCCUGGAAUUGUUACGUCCAAGACUUGUGAUGCUACUUUUGCGGGAGAGGAUGGGAGUGGGCGCAGUGGGUGAGGUUUCGCUGGGGCAGCCAUGUUGGCGAAGAAUAUCCACACACUCUUGGCUUCCAGCUUGUUGUGCCAGCAUUAAAGCUGUUUGGCCUUGAGGAUUCUUUGCUUUCACAUCACUACCAUACUACACAGAGAAACAGACAAAAAAAACACUUAAAAACCCAUCAUUCAAAAUGACAAAAAAAGUAACAUCCAUUUUUUUGGAGAGAAAAAAUUGGGAGGAAGAGAUUGGUGAGGUAAUAACUGUUUAUAGCUGCUAUAACUUGCAAGUUGUUUCUCAGACAUUCCACAACAUUAAACAUAACUAUAAAUAGAUAAGAAGUAUGAUGCGUUAUUCUUGAAUAAAUAAACAGUUGCGAUUGUUCUCAA